AAUGAACGCUGGCGGCGUGCCUAACACAUGCAAGUCGAGCGAGAAAGUCCCCUUCGGGGGGCGAGUAAAGCGGCGCACGGGUGAGUAACGCGUGGGUAACCUGCCCUUGAGUGGGGGAGUAACCAGCCGAAAGGCUGACUAAUCCCGCAUACGACCGGCAGACACAAGUCUGUCGGGGAAAGAUGGCCUCUGCUUGCAAGCUAUCGCUCUUGGAUGGGCCCGCGUUGGAUUAGCUAGUUGGUGGGGUAACGGCCUACCAAGGCUGCGAUCCAUAGCUGGUUUGAGAGGACGACCAGCCACACUGGAACUGAGACACGGUCCAGACUCCUACGGGAGGCAGCAGUGAGGAAUAUUGCGCAAUGGGGGAAACCCUGACGCAGCGACGCCGUGUGAGCGAUGAAGGCCUUCGGUCGUAAAGCUCUGUCAGAGGGAAAGAAAGGGUCGGCGGAAGUAAUACCCGCCGACAUUGACGGUACCCUCGGAGGAAGCACCGGCUAACUCCGUGCCG
rnacentral:rRNA from 1 species